rnacentral:tRNA from 1 species
GAGGGUAUAGCUCAGUGGUAGAGUGCAUGCUUAGCAUGCACGAGGUCCUGGGUUCAAUCCCCAGUACCUCUG